rnacentral:rRNA from 1 species
UACGGAGGGUGCGAGCGUUAAUCGGAAUGACUGGGCGUAAAGGGUGAUUAGGUGGCAAGACAAGUCAUGGGUGAAAGUACUGGGCUCAACCUGGUGUGGAAUCAUGAUACUGUUUAGCUAGAGUAUAGGAGAGGGUAGUGGAAUUUCCGGUGUAGCGGUGAAAUGCGUAGAGAUCGGAAGGAACACCAGUUGCGAAGGCGGCUACCUGGCCAUAUACUGACACUGAGUCACGAAAGCGUGGGGAGCAAACAGG